CCUACGGGAGGCAGCAGUGGGGAAUAUUGGGCAAUGGGCGCAAGCCUGACCCAGCAACGCCGCGUGAAGGAAGAAGGCUUUCAGGUUUUAAACUUCUUUUGUCAGGGACGAAGCAAGUGACGGUACCUGACGAAUAAGCCACGGCUAACUACGUGCCAGCAGCCGCGGUAAUACGUAGGUGGCAAGCGUUAUCCGGAUUUAUUGGGUGUAAAGGGCGUGUAGGCGGGAAUGCAAGUCAGAUGUGAAAACUAUGGGCUCAACCCAUAGCCUGCAUUUGAAACUGUAUUUCGUGCGUGCUGGAGAGGCAAUCGGAAUUCCGUGUGUAGCGGUGAAAUGCGUAGAUAUACGGAGGAACACCAGUGGCGAAGGCGGAUUGCUGGACAGUAACUGACGCUGAGGCGCGAAAGCGUGGGGAGCAAACAGGAUUAGAUACCCUAGUAGUC
rnacentral:rRNA from 1 species